AGCUUAAAGUAAAGAUUUUAAGUAAUCUCUGCCCGGUGAGUUUUUAACGGCCGCAGUACCUUGACUGUGCAAAGGUAGCAUAAUAAUUUGUCCUUUAAUUUAGGUCUGGAAUGAAUGAGAACACAGGGGAGAGCUGUCUCUAGWARGGUUAACUUAACUUCCUUAUCAGGUGAAAAUUCCUGAGCUUCUUGGAAAGACGAGAAGACCCUUAGAGUUUUUUUGUUGGGGCGACAGGGUAACAAAACUUACCCAUUUAAUAAUUAAACUACCUAAGGGAUAACAGCGUAAUUUUUUUUUUGGUUUGCGACCUCGAUGUUGGACUAGGGGCCUACUGGUUAGCAACCAUCAAUGGAGGUUCUGUUCGAACUUAAUCCCCU
rnacentral:rRNA from 1 species